GCCAUUCAGGAAGGUCAUGGAAGCUCCACAACCCUUCCUCCAUACCUCACCCUAUGCAUCUCUUCACCUGUAUCCUUUGUAAUAUCCUUUAUAAUAAACCAGUAAGCAUAAGUGUUCCCUAGGUUCAGAAAGCCACUCUAGCAAAUUAAUUGAACUCAAGCAGGGGAUCAUGGGAUCUCUAAUUUCCAGCUGGUCUGUCAGAAGCACAGGUGAAAUAAACUGGGACUUGUAAUUCGCGUCAGAAGCAAGGGGCAUUCUUGGGGACUGAGCCCUCAACCUGUGGGAUCUGACGCUAUCUCCAGGAAGAGAGUGUCAGAGUGGAACUGAAUUAGAGGACUUCCAGCUUCAGUCUGCUGCAAAAUUGAUGGCUUGCUUGUUGGUGAGGUGUGGGUUGUGAGAUGGUGUGACCAGUGGAGAACCUGUAUGGGUCUGCAGAAACUCGAUCCUUGCCUCUUCAAAGGAAAGAAUUUGGCCAAGGGGUAGAAGUGGGUUUAAGGCAGCGGGAGAGAUACAGGCAAGUUUUAGAGCAG
rnacentral:lncRNA from 10 species